CCUUUUGUUCAACACGUAAGAGCUAGCACAGGCUUCAGUUUCUCAUCUCACCCCGCGCUCUCUCUCUAUUUCUCUCCUCUCUGCCUCUCUUUAGUUUCUUUAGGUAUAGAUCACUCUAUUCCACUUCGUUUUCUCCCUAAGUUUGGAAUUAAAGCGGCAUAUUGUGUGCUGUUGAUUUUUUUCCUGUUUUUUUUUUUUUUGUAUUCGAGAGGUUUGGUUGGUUUGAACCCAAGCCCAAGUUGCUUCCACUAUAACUCUUCACACCAAAGCAAAACUGGAGAAGACGACCAUUUGUGAUUGGCUAUUUGCCGCAUCUAUCAGGUGUUGGGGUGUACUUUGCUUUGUCAAACACGUGGUGUGCAAUUCUUGAAUCUUCCCUUGUGUAUGUCGUUCCCUCUUUGUUUUUCCUUUUAGGUUUGUAAUUAAAGCUAUGUAAUUUGGGUUGAAUUCAUUCUCAUAGGAUUGGAGUCAGUGCUGGAUAUGUAUCUUCAAAGAGCGACGAGCGUAGGUCUUGAAAAACGUGGCUGCCAAUCUGUGUGUCUGCUCAUCCUCUUCCUCACUCUAUUCUGCACAGUUCGAUUUUCUUUUUACCGCUGCUGGGUGAUUUAUUUCUCUUACUCCUGUUGUUCUCCAUGUCGGCGUUGCUGAAGCGUAAAAUUACGAGUUCUAUUGAGAGUUUGAUUUGGAUUAAGGUUUGGGAAAUUGGAUAAACGAAGAGAAGUAAAGAGAAGAAAGACAGGCACAUCGGAAAAAGGAAAAGAGACUCUAUGUCGCGUAGCUGGAGAUGGAAGCUGAUUUAAAGUGGGUGACAUGAAAUGAAUUGGGAGUUGGUGAGGCUGGAAAGAUUUGAGACUCUGGCUGCUGAAAUGUUGAAGAGGUCGAGUUUUCUUUGUGUAGGCUACGACAAAUUUAUUUUAUUUAAUUUGGGUUAGCGUUGGGAUAUAUGUUACCCGGAAGAAAAUUAGUAUCACAUGACAGAUUGGUCAGGUCAUUGCGAAGAAAUAAAUUUAACUUUUAGAAUACAGAAGAUUGGUAUGGUCGUGUAACUGCAUUAGAUGACGUGAUCGUACCAGCAGAUUUAUCAGCUCCUAAUAUGCUUAUAUGUGCUUACGAAAUUAACAUUAAGACCGAAAAAGAUGAAUAGUUUGCAAGGAGAUGCUUGUACGUGCCCCUAUGAUUACUUUUAUUCGUCGAUUACAAACAAGCUGAAUAUUGAUGCUGUUGCAUUUUCUCUUGCUUCCAUUGUUUUCCCACAUUGGAGAACUUCAAUUAAGCUGUCGAUAACACUAGCAGACAUAAUCAGGAUCUUGUUAUUCUCAUGUAUUGAAAGGUUGAGCAAUGCUGUGACUGCAUUCUUCCGGAUUCUUAUAUCACGGGAACCAACCAGAGUCUUCAGAAAUGGAAUAGCUCCAGACUCAGCUAUGAUUCUGCGAUUGUCCAUUCCAGUUUUUGCGAGCAAUCUUAGCUCAGAUGUUGCCUGUCUCUGUAUAUCUGGAGAUGCUGUUGCCAAUUUUCCAACUAAAAACUCUGCUGGUAUUUUAUUUUUUCAUGGACAGCACGCACAUAAAUUGUAUUUAAUACUUCUUCGGUUCUAAAAAUAUGUUUUAGUUUGAUUUGGCAUAAAAUUUAAUAAAAAGAGAAAACUU